rnacentral:RNase_P_RNA from 1 species
AGGUAAUCGCUACUUGAUAGUAGAGGAAAGUCCAGGCUGCCACAAUCUGCGAUGAUUGUAGUGUUUGUGCCUCACGAAUCAAUAAGUGAGGGUAGUGUAAACUAACGACAGAAGCAAGACCUAAGGGUAACUAUGGUUGAAAUUCAUAAAUGGCUCCACAGAGACAAUGCUAUAGGAAACUAUAGGUGAAAAGAGGAAAGCUCCGCAAGGCAGAAACCCAAAUUUGGUAGGGGAAUCGAUUGAUUUGGAAUUGAACGAAUCAUCGGACGUGAAAACGUAGAUAAAUGAUUAUCUGAAAUACAGAACUUGGCUUAUU